GAUGAACGCUAGCUACAGGCUUAACACAUGCAAGCCGAGGGGUAACGAGAGGAAAGCUUGCUUUCCUUGUCGACGACCGGCGCACGGGUGAGUAACGCGUAUCCAACCUGCCCCCAACUAGGGAAUAACCUUGCGAAAGUAAGACUAAUACCCUAUACUUUCCUCAGAUGACAUCUGACGAGGAAUAAAGAUUUAUCGGUUGUGGAUGGGGAUGCGUCUGAUUAGCUUGUUGGCGGGGUAACGGCCCACCAAGGCAACGGUCAGUAGGGGUUCUGAGAGGAAGGUCCCCCACAUUGGAACUGAGACACGGUCCAAACUCCUACGGGAGGCAGCAGUGAGGAAUAUUGGUCAAUGGGCGGAAGCCUGAACCAGCCAAGUAGCGUGCAGGAUGACGGCCCUAUGGGUUGUAAACUGCUUUUAUACAGGAAUAAAGUUAGCCACGUGUGGUUAUUUGUAGGUACUGUAUGAAUAAGGACCGGCUAAUUCCGUGCCAGCAGCCGCCGUAA
rnacentral:rRNA from 1 species